rnacentral:rRNA from 1 species
AGUGAACGCUGGCGGUAGGCCUGACACAUGCAAGUCGAACGGCAGCACAGUAAGAGCUUGCUCUUACGGGUGGCGAGUGGCGGACGGGUGAGGAAUACAUCGGAAUCUACUUUUUCGUGGGGGAUAACGUAGGGAAACUUACGCUAAUACCGCAUACGACCUACGGGUGAAAGCAGGGGAUCUUCGGACCUUGCGCGAUUGAAUGAACCGAUGUCGGAUUAGCUAGUUGGCGGGGUAAAGGCCCACCAAGGCGACGAUCCGUAGCUGGUCUGAGAGGAUGAUCAGCCACACUGGAACUGAGACACGGUCCAGACUCCUACGGGAGGCAGCAGUGGGGAAUAUUGGACAAUGGGCGCAAGCCUGAUCCAGCCAUACCGCGUGGGUGAAGAAGGCCUUCGGGUUGUAAAGCCCUUUUGUUGGGAAAGAAAAGCAGCAGGUUAAUACCCCGCUGUUCUGACGGUACCCAAAGAAUAAGCACCGGCUAACUUCGUG